ensembl:lncRNA
CUUUUAUUUUGUUAAGUGAGCAUUUCUUCUUGUUCUGCGGUUUCUGUGACGCCGAACUUCCUGUUUCUUUGCCUAAACAACGUUGUGCUCACACAUCGUCGGAGAAACGUUAAAAAACUCUAAAAACAGUAGUUAUACAUCACGUUUAUCUAUUUGAAUUGUAUUAAGGAAGGGUUUACAUUGUGAUUUACCUCGUUAUACUGUAUUCGUAGCUCCGAGCAGCGGCGUGUGUGUGUGUAUGUCGAGCUGGAGAGCAUGCUAGCUGAUGGCUAACACUUAAAUUAGCGCCCUUGGAACGGCGGAAUGAGUUUUCACGGUGCUUAUGGUACACGUGCUGGUCGAGAGUAAGUGUCAAGUCAAACUGGGAGAAGCUGAAACGUCAGAGAAAGAAGAAGCGUUCACACAGGUGCUGCACUCAGCUGGGGCGGAACCAAUCUGCGGCUGCAGGUUUGCUACCUGCAGCAUAAAAAGGGACACACUCAGCACUGAGGAGGAACGGCGAAUGAAUGACCUCGCUCAACAAAGUGGCUGUGAGCGUGAGGAUCUGCGGCAAACUGUGCAGGACUGCUUCAUCUACAGAAAUCCAGGUAGCAGCAGGUUUUUCACCUAAACCUAUCAACUAACCCUAUCAACUUACCCUAUCAACUAAACCUGUCAGCUAAGUUGCCAUCGUUGUAUUCCAUGACCUUGCAACCAUUGCAAAAUAAAAGAGGAAGAAAAGAAAGCAACUGUCUGACUCAUGAGUGGAGCCCAGCUCAUAACCUGGGUAGAUGAAACAUCCUUUUUCAAGUGGGGAAACUACACACUAACCCUCAAAAAUCAUCAAUGAUAUUCACGCGUCAUUGAAAGUGGGAGAACACUUG